rnacentral:rRNA from 1 species
AGGGAACCUUCCGCAAUGGACGAAAGUCUGACGGAGCAACGCCGCGUGAGUGAUGAAGGUUUUCGGAUCGUAAAACUCUGUUGUUAGGGAAGAACAAGUAUCGUUCGAAUAGGGCGGUACCUUGACGGUACCUAACCAGAAAGCCACGGCUAACUACGUGCCAGCAGCCGCGGUAAUACGUAGGUGGCAAGCGUCGUCCGGAAUUAUUGGGCGUAAAGCGCGCGCAGGCGGUUUCUUAAGUCUGAUGUGAAAGCCCACGGCUCAACCGUGGAGGGUCAUUGGAAACUGGGAGACUUGAGUGCAGAAGAGGAGAGUGGAAUUCCACGUGUAGCGGUGAAAUGCGUAGAGAUGUGGAGGAACACCAGUGGCGAAGGCGACUCUCUGGUCUGUAACUGACGCUGAGGCGCGAAAGCGUGGGGAGCGAAC